rnacentral:rRNA from 1 species
UACGGAGGGUGCGAGCGUUGUCCGGAAUCACUGGGCGUAAAGGGCGCGUAGGCGGCCGAGCAAGGUCGUGGUGAAAGCCCGGGGCUCAACCCCGGGUCGGCCAUGGCAACUACUCGGCUGGAGCACAGUAGAGGCAGGCGGAAUUCCGGGUGUAGCGGUGGAAUGCGUAGAGAUCAGGAAGAACACCCGUGGCGAAAGCGGCUCUCUGGGACGGUACUGACGCUGAGACGCGAAAGCGUGGGGAGCGAACAGG